rnacentral:lncRNA from 1 species
GGAAGACAUGAUCCCCAACUCCGUCGACACCUUCCUCUGAUCUGACCCGUCUCCCCUAGAAAAAAACCCAGCCCCAGAUUCACGAUACUAUGGUGCGCCGCCGCCCGUCCUCCUGCAUGCUGAAAUUGGUUAGCGGGGGCUAGCUAUUUAGAUAUAGAAGAUGACCUACAACCAGGGAUGCAAGCGGGCAUCCCGCAUAAGCCCGGCAAAACAGGAAUUUAGUUCAAACAUGAACUAUAGCUGAACCAGAAGGAUUAUAACUAAGUCGAUCUACUUUGAGUACGAAGCGUGGCCGGUCGGGCGCCGCUCUGCGUCCCUACCUACAACCGACGCCCGAAGCGCUAAAUAGAAAAUGCCCAGAUUUUUUUUUUGUUUGAAGGGGAAAUGCCCAGAUUUUACGCAGCUUCUUUCAGAAAUCCACAGCCCAACCAAAUACGCAGCUACGGCCCGGCCCGUCACGCGAGCACGCGAAAAUAUAUAAGGCAGGAGGCUGGGGUCGUCCUUGGUCUUCCCCACCUCCGAUCGAAAGUUGUGAUUUUUGAUUGAUUUCCGGGCGGAAGACAUGAUCCCCAACUCCGUCGACACCUUCCUCUGAUCUGUCCCCGGAUCCAGCCAACUCCCCCACCAAAAGAAGCCAAACUAUGGUGCGCCGCCGCCCGUCGCCGCCGUCUUCCUCCUCCGCCUCCUCGUCGCCGAUGCUCCACAAGAACCUCCGCGCGCUCGGCCCCGGCCUCAAUCCGUUCGCCCCCUUCGGCAUGGGCAACUACUCCCGCUAAUCUCCCCCUCCCCCCAUCUCCUCUGCUUCUGAAAUUCUAGCUUUUUCUCCCCGGAUCCGAUUCGCUUCUCCCCCCUUCUCGUUCUUGAUUUGAUUUGAUUGGAUUGGAUUGCUCCCCUCUCUGCUUUCUUGGUUUGGUUUGGAUCUGCUUGCAAGAUUCUUAGGCAAGGGGCCACCAUGG